rnacentral:rRNA from 1 species
GACGAACGCUGGCGGCGUGCUUAACACAUGCAAGUCGAACGGAAAGGCCUCUUUCGGGGGGUACUCGAGUGGCGAACGGGUGAGUAACACGUGAGUAACCUGCCCUUGACUUUGGGAUAACUUCAGGAAACUGGGGCUAAUACCGGAUAGGAGCUCCUGCUGCAUGGUGGGGGUUGGAAAGUUUCGGCGGUUGGGGAUGGACUCGCGGCUUAUCAGCUUGUUGGUGGGGUAGUGGCUUACCAAGGCUUUGACGGGUAGCCGGCCUGAGAGGGUGACCGGCCACAUUGGGACUGGGAUACGGCCCAGACUCCUACGGGAGGCAGCAGUGGGGAAUAUUGCACAAUGGGUGGAAGCCUGAUGCAGCAACGCCGGGUGCGGGAUGAUGGCCUUCGGGUUGUAAACCGCUUUCGCUCAUGACGAAGCUUUGUGUGACGGUAGUGGGUAAAGAAGCACCGGCUAACUACGUG